rnacentral:other from 1 species
AAAUGUCUGCGGUGUUCGUGGUAUGGGAAAUUCGUAAUCCACAAAGUAAUUUAAGGGAGCGGUUCGUUCGCGGAAAUAGGCAAGGUCUGUUUACGGAAAGUCCGAUUUUUUCGCUUCGCCGCACCCACCUGCGAGAAGCGGGUUAAUACUUUUCCAUAUCACGGCACAGGCGGAUAUUUU